UUGCUUCCCAUAGCACAUUUACCAAAAUUGGCAUGAUAGAGAGAUUAGCCUGGUCCCUAUACAAAGGAUGAUAUACACAGUCAUAGGACAUCUUUAUUUUUU